GAUGAAGAACGCAGCGAAAUGCGAUACGUAAUGUGAAUUGCAGAAUUCAGUGAAUCAUCGAGUCUUUGAACGCACAUUGCGCCCCCUGGUAUUCCGGGGGGCAUGCCUGUCCGAGCGUCAUUGCUGCCCUCAAGCACGGCUUGUGUGUUGGGCCUCCGCCCCCCGGCUCCCGGGGGGCGGGCCCGAAAGGCAGCGGCGGCACCGCGUCCGGUCCUCGAGCGUAUGGGGCUUCGUCACCCGCUCCGUAGGCCCGGCCGGCGCCCGCCGGCGACCCCCCUCAAUCUUUACAGGUUGACCUCGGAUCAGGUAGGGAUACCCGCUGAACUUAAGCAUAUCAAUAAGCGGAGGA
rnacentral:misc_RNA from 1 species